UUAAGAACACCUGAAUAUAGAGGUAAUGCUACUGUGUUUGGUUACACAGUUGCAGAAAACUGCAUUUCUGAUCAUUGUAGAUAUACUGUAGAUCAAUAGUUACCACAGUGUGGGACAUCGGAAUAACCUGAUUUGAAGAAAAUCUGACCUUCCAGAAUUUACUGCCAUGAUGUUAAGGUUUGCUGGAUGGUUGCCACUUACCAGGGUGUUCCUGUGCAUUUGCUAAGUCUGAGCCAGAGAAGCCGACCUUUGACCUGAGUGAUGCGAGCGACGCAGAGUUCGGAAGGUUGGAGGGGAUUCACGGCCUCAAGCCACAUAUCCUUACAGAAGCCCCUGCUCUGAGACGCCUGCUCACACAGUAAAAC